rnacentral:sRNA from 1 species
UGUCUAUAAAUGCAGAGGAGUUUGCAGAUUUCUCUAAA